rnacentral:rRNA from 1 species
UAGGGAAUCUUCGGCAAUGGACGAAAGUCUGACCGAGCAACGCCGCGUGAGUGAAGAAGGUUUUCGGAUCGUAAAACUCUGUUGGUAGAGAAGAACACGUAUGAGAGUAACUGUUCAUACGUUGACGGUAUUUAACCAGAAAGUCACGGCUAACUACGUGCCAG